rnacentral:rRNA from 1 species
GACGAACGCUGGCGGCGUGCUUAACACAUGCAAGUCGAACGGAAAGGCCCCUUUGGGGGUACUCGAGUGGCGAACGGGUGAGUAACACGUGAGUAACCUGCCCUUGACUUCGGGAUAACUUCAGUAAACUGGGGCUAAUACCGGAUAGGAAUCCUUGCUGCAUGGUGGGGGUUGGAAAGCUUCGGCGGUUUUGGAUGGACUCGCGGCUUAUCAGCUUGUUGGUGGGGUAGUGGCUUACCAAGGCUUUGACGGGUAGCCGGCCUGAGAGGGCGACCGGCCACAUUGGGACUGAGGUACGGCCCAGACUCCUAAGGGAGGCAGCAGGGGGGAAUAUUGCACAAUGGGCGGAAGCCUGAUGCAGCAACGCCGCGUGCGGGAUGACGGCCUUCGGGUUGUAAACCGCUUUCAGCAGGGGCGAAGCUUGUGGUGACGGUACCUGCAGAAGAAGCACCGGCUAACUACGUG